UUUUUUUGUCCACAUUUUCCCAUUAAACUUGUUUUUGUUGUCCAUAUCUUACCUUAUGACUGGUUGGUGUGGGUUUAACCGGUUUCCAGCGGUCUUUGCAUUUCCGACGAGACUCCGGUCAUCUUCUCCGACAAGUCUCCGGCCAAGAUGAUUUUUCCGGCGAGUUGUAACACACAAGUAAGGUUUUGAUUUUUCAGAUUAACAACUCAAGAACACACAUAACACACUAGAUUUCGAUUUCCAAAAUUAAAUACACAAACACACACCUCACUUCUUGAUCGUCGUUCUCAUCAGCCACUACCACCACCAAGCCCUUCUUCCGCCUCCCUCAUCUCUCUAUUAACAAAUCAAUUACGUUUUCUAGCUGGAUUUGUUUAUCCAAAGCAACCCAAGUCACCAUUAAAAUCGUUUACUGUUCAUCGUCUUCAACCUCCAAGCCACCAUUAAAACCGAGACCUUCACCCCCACAAACCCAGAUCCCGUCUCAAGCUAUUUCCAACAACCUCCGAUCAAACUUCAUUGAUGAGUCCUUCACUUCAAAUGAUUCCCCUUCGUUUUUCUCUGAUGGUUGAAAGUAAGCAAAAUACAAACUAUGCAGCAUAAUGUACAAGCUCGUCGAUGCAUUAUCCUUUGAACCAGCACAAUAGGAGAGAAGGAGGUUGCAAUCAAAAUCGAAGAGGGUGGGUGUCUCUUCUUCGAUCAAAAAUUCCAGAUCUAUCGAGAUCUUCUAAUGGGUUUGUUCUUGAGAACUUUUUUAGAUUUGAAUGUGUGUGUAUGUAUUAGAUCAAAACACGAACCUAUAACUACAUGUGUGUAUGAUUUCGUUUUUUGCUAG
rnacentral:lncRNA from 1 species